rfam:Triticum aestivum genome assembly, contig: Triticum_aestivum_CS42_TGACv1_scaffold_221363_3B
UGUGUACUCCCUCCGUUCCAACAUAUUUGACUUCCAUUUGUCCAAAAAUGGAUGUACCUAUAUACUAAAACAUGUCUAGAUACAUCUAUAUUUUGACAAAUAGAAGACAUGUAUUGUGGAACGGAGGGAGUAGAAU